rnacentral:rRNA from 1 species
UGGGGAAUUUUGGACAAUGGGCGAAAGCCUGAUCCAGCAAUGCCGCGUGUGUGAAGAAGGCCUUCGGGUUGUAAAGCACUUUUGUCCGGAAAGAAAUCCUUGGCUCUAAUACAGUCGGGGGAUGACGGUACCGGAAGAAUAAGCACCGGCUAACUACGUGCCAGCAGCCGCGGUAAUACGUAGGGUGCAAGCGUUAAUCGGAAUUACUGGGCGUAAAGCGUGCGCAGGCGGUUUGCUAAGACCGAUGUGAAAUCCCCGGGCUCAACCUGGGAACUGCAUUGGUGACUGGCAGGCUAGAGUAUGGCAGAGGGGGGUAGAAUUCCACGUGUAGCAGUGAAAUGCGUAGAGAUGUGGAGGAAUACCGAUGGCGAAGGCAGCCCCCUGGGCCAAUACUGACGCUCAUGCACGAAAGCGUGGGGGAGCAAACAGGAUUAGAUACCCUGGUAGUCCACGCCCUAAACGAUGUCAACUAGUUGUUGGGGAUUCAUUUCCUUAGUAACGUAGCUAACGCGUGAAGUUGACCGCCUGGGGAGUACGGUCGCAAGAUUAAAACUC